rnacentral:snoRNA from 1 species
CCUGUCCUAGCGGUGUUGCAUCUGUGGCUGCUGUGUCCAUGUGUAUCAGUGAGUAGUGGGUCCAAGUGUAUCAGUAGGUAGCAGAGAGAAGAGGGGCUAGGUCUAUGUUCAGUGUUUUGACCUGUGGGCAUUGAAUGAUUACAAGUCCAACAUU